rnacentral:siRNA from 1 species
UAAAUUCUGGCAAAUGUGGGA